GCCGAUGUGGUGGAAUUGGUAGACACGUACGCUUCAGGUGCGUAUGCCGCAAGGUUUGGGAGUCCGAGUCUCCCCAUCGGCA
rnacentral:tRNA from 1 species